CGCCCGUGGAGGGGCGGUCUGCGGCCCCAGCCCUGGAGACUCAGGGAACCCCAGGGGGUGCUGGUAACACAAGUCCACGGCCUCGAGGGACAGGCGUUUUGCGGAAUGGCGGGAGGGGAGGGUUCGGCGGCCUACUCUGCCCUCACCCUUUGCUACUUCUCCCCUCUCAGGGACCCCUCCCUCUGGCGAGCACCCUGCCUUACUGAGUGCCCUCCAUCUCCGCCCACUCAUGGCACCCCCUCCUCACUGGGCCCCUUGUGUCCCUUAACCCCAAGUUCCCACCCGAUCCCCUCCGGAUCCCUUCCCCACCCCAGUUUGGCCCUCCCGCCUCUGUGCGCCACCCCUCCCCCUUUUCCUCCAGCCCCGGCCUCAGCCUCUGAAAUAUUCAUAGCCUCCCCUCACCCCUCCUCCCCUCCGCAGCCGCCCGGGGCCCUGUCUUAUCUCGCUGCCUGCCGGGCUGUCCUCAUCAAUCACGGCCACGCGCAAGGGUGCGGGCCUCAGCACUGCGGCCUCCCUGCUCCCGGUCCAUCUGCGCCAAGUCGGGCUCGCCCAGCGGGGACCCGCCGCCUUCCGUCCCUGCUCCGGCCUUGGAGCCCCAGCCAUUCUCUGGCACAGAGGUUUUGUCCCCGCAGACCCUUCUCAGAGGGUUGGUUGAUUUUAUUUCUUAUUUUUUACUUUUCCCCUAGCAGCAACUCCCCUAAGGCAAGAGCGGCCGGGCUUUGAAGCCUCAGACCAAUCUUCAUCAGGCGCUGUCCUCGAGUGAGCCGGCGCUAAGUGAUCUGGGGCUGCCACACCUCUCUCUGACCUCUCCUCCCAAAUGAGUGAUAACAGUUACAGGACGCCUGGGAAAAUUUGAUAAGAUUUCCGGGACUACGGGCAUAAGUCACCAUGCUCAGAUGCUUGGAGCACUGUUUUGAUGCCAUAACUAAAAGAUGUCUUCUGAUUCAACCCCCUUACUGCAUAAAUAGGGAAACUGAGGCUUUGCUGAAAACUGGGCAAGUCACACUAUUCUAGGAUCCAAGGAUACAAGUAAACAAAACUG
rnacentral:lncRNA from 1 species